rnacentral:rRNA from 1 species
GGAAUUUUGCGCAAUGGGCGCAAGCCUGACGCAGCAACGCCGCGUGGAGGAAGAAGGCCCUCGGGUCGUAAACUCCUGUCCUUGGGGAAGAUGGUGACGGUACCCUUGGCGGAAGCCCCGGCUAACUCCGUGCCAGCAGCCGCGGUAAUACGGGGGGGGCGAGCGUUGUUCGGAUUUACUGGGCGUAAAGGGCGCGCAGGCGGCGCCGGAAGUCCUGGGUGAAAGCUCCCGGCUCAACUGGGAGAGGGCCUGGGAAACCACGGUGCUGGAGUGCUGGAGAGGGAAGCGGAAUUCCCGGUGUAGAGGUGAAAUGCGUAGAUAUCGGGAGGAACACCAGUGGCGAAGGCGGCUUCCUGGCCCAACACUGACACUCAUGUGCGAAAGCGUGGGGAGCAAAC